UAUGGAGAGUUUGAUCCUGGCUCAGAGUGAACGCUGGCGGCGUGCCUAAUACAUGCAAGUCGAACGAUGAAGCUUCUAGCUUGCUAGAAUGCUGAUUAGUGGCGCACGGGUGAGUAACGCAUAGGUCAUGUGCCUCUUAGUUUGGGAUAGCCAUUGGAAACGAUGAUUAAUACCAGAUACUCCCUACGGGGGAAAGAUUUAUCGCUAAGAGAUCAGCCUAUGUCCUAUCAGCUUGUUGGUAAGGUAAUGGCUUACCAAGGCUAUGACGGGUAUCCGGCCUGAGAGGGUGAACGGACACACUGGAACUGAGACACGGUCCAGACUCCUACGGGAGGCAGCAGUAGGGAAUAUUGCUCAAUGGGGGAAACCCUGAAGCAGCAACGCCGCGUGGAGGAUGAAGGUUUUAGGAUUGUAAACUCCUUUUGUUAGAGAAGAUAAUGACGGUAUCUAACGAAUAAGCACCGGCUAACUCCGUGCCAGCAGCCGCGGUAAUACGGAGGGUGCAAGCGUUACUCGGAAUCACUGGGCGUAAAGAGCGCGUAGGCGGGAUAGUCAGUCAGGUGUGAAAUCCUAUGGCUUAACCAUAGAACUGCAUUUGAAACUACUAUUCUAGAGUGUGGGAGAGGUAGGUGGAAUUCUUGGUGUAGGGGUAAAAUCCGUAGAGAUCAAGAGGAAUACUCAUUGCGAAGGCGACCUGCUGGAACAUUACUGACGCUGAUUGCGCGAAAGCGUGGGGAGCAAACAGGAUUAGAUACCCUGGUAGUCCACGCCCUAAACGAUGGAUGCUAGUUGUUGGAGGGCUUAGUCUCUCCAGUAAUGCAGCUAACGCAUUAAGCAUCCCGCCUGGGGAGUACGGUCGCAAGAUUAAAACUCAAAGGAAUAGACGGGGACCCGCACAAGCGGUGGAGCAUGUGGUUUAAUUCGAAGAUACACGAAGAACCUUACCUAGGCUUGACAUUGAGAGAAUCCGCUAGAAAUAGUGGAGUGUCUGGCUUGCCAGACCUUGAAAACAGGUGCUGCACGGCUGUCGUCAGCUCGUGUCGUGAGAUGUUGGGUUAAGUCCCGCAACGAGCGCAACCCCCUUUCUUAGUUGCUAACAGGUCAUGCUGAGAACUCUAAGGAUACUGCCUCCGUAAGGAGGAGGAAGGUGGGGACGACGUCAAGUCAUCAUGGCCCUUACGCCUAGGGCUACACACGUGCUACAAUGGGGUGCACAAAGAGAAGCAAUACUGCGAAGUGGAGCCAAUCUUCAAAACAUCUCUCAGUUCGGAUUGUAGGCUGCAACUCGCCUGCAUGAAGCUGGAAUCGCUAGUAAUCGCAAAUCAGCCAUGUUGCGGUGAAUACGUUCCCGGGUCUUGUACUCACCGCCCGUCACACCAUGGGAGUUGUGUUUGCCUUAAGUCAGGAUGCUAAAUUGGCUACUGCCCACGGCACACACAGCGACUGGGGUGAAGUCGUAACAAGGUAACCGUAGGUGAACCUGCGGUUGGAUCACCUCCUU
rnacentral:rRNA from 1 species